GAACAACACUCCAAACGUCACCUGUAUUCAAAAGGAACAAAUCAAUCCUCAUGAUCAAGAAUCAAUCAACUGUGUUUGUUAGAUCUGAGCGAGAGAAAAGAGUAAAUGUUACGAUCUUGAUUCUUCAGAUAAGAGUAUUUGUUGAUUGAAAAUGAAAUAAUACAGAUUUAUUCCAGAUAUAGGGAGAUCCAACAAGAUUUGAGGAGAAAGAGAGAGACCUUGUAAGAGCCAUCGGUCUGA